AACGAACGCUGGCGGCAUGCCUAACACAUGCAAGUCGAACGAGACCUUCGGGUCUAGGGGCGCACGGGUGCGUAACGCGUGGGAACCUGCCCUUAGGUUCGGAAUAACUCCCCGAAAGGGGUGAUAAUACCGGAUAAUGUCUUCGGACCAAAGAUUUAUCGCCUUUGGAUGGGCCCGCGUUGGAUUAGCUAGUUGGUAGGGUAAAAGCCUACCAAGGCGACGAUCCAUAGCUGGUCUGAGAGGAUGAUCAGCCACACUGGGACUGAGACACGGCCCAGACUCCUACGGGAGGCAGCAGUGGGGAAUAUUGGACAAUGGGCGAAAGCCUGAUCCAGCAAUGCCGCGUGAGUGAUGAAGGCCUUAGGGUUGUAAAGCUCUUUUACCCGGGAUGAUAAUGACAGUACCGGGAGAAUAAGCUCCGGCUAACUCCGUG
rnacentral:rRNA from 1 species